ACCGUGCGACGGCGGCCGUUGCUAUGGCAACCACGGUGCGGCCUGCUCCAGCCAAGGGCCUCAGGCGUUCGGCUGAGUCUAUUUACAUUUAUUUUACCAUGCAGAAUAUUUUCAGCACAUUUCCCCUCCCUCCUUUACGACUAUGAUUUUUUAUAAUUUUCUUACCUUGCGCUGUCUAUAUUUAAUACUUCUUAAAAUAACAUGAUCCUUGUUUCUUACACACCCCCUUCUAUCUGCAGCACUUACCCCACUGCAGAUAUAAUCCUAUUCUGCAUAGCUUUUAUAGGUAGCAGCAAUAGUCUGAGACCGGGAACAGGAUUUUUCUUGUGUUAAGCUGUUUCAAGAGACAAAAACCACUGGUUACUGAAUUGAGUCCUAUUGUCAAAGUUCAGAAACUGCUUACUGAAAAAAUGCGUAUUUUUUAAUUUGGCCUUAUAUGUAAUCUUCUAAACUCAUCCUUGAACAUGAGUGAAUCCGUUUUUUUAACCAUUCUCCUCAAAAGUCAGCCACAGCCUGGGUAAGAUCUGUUCAAAUAAUAACACCAGCGUUACAUGGAGAAGUGUGAAUACUUCAGCUAAAUUUAGCACUACAUCUAACAUAAAUAUAUAAAAUAGUUUUUCAUGCAUUCACUGUUUCAUAGUCUGUAAAUAUUCCACAUUAAUUAGUCAAUGACUAACAGGGAUAAGUAUCACUGAAAAAUUCAUACCAUUCUUUUUCCCCCCCCCCACAGUAACCAUCACUUGCUAACCUCUAGACGAGUAUUUAUAUAUUUUUUUUCUGCUUGGAUCCAAAGCACUUCAGUACUUGACAAUCACCAACAAAUGACAUUAGUGCUUGUAUUUUAAUAGUAUCUGUAGGAUAUUCCUGCUGGUUUGAUGAUCACCAACAAUUAGGAGUAGAAUUGUUUGGAGGUUUGUUUUAUCACUGUCAGUCUAGCUACAACGUUCCCCAAGCACUAGUCCAUCCUUCAGACAAGAUAUUUCCCCCUCCAAGCCAUAUGUUUCAGCCAUCUCUUUUAUUUACUAAGGAGGAAAUCCUGUAGCUAACAGGAUUUAUAACUACUGAACUUCUAGGAAAUACUUUUUUCCCCACAUCACGAAUAACGUCAGUUUCAGAAUUAGGGGACUGCAAGAAGAGCAAGUCUUGUGACAGAUAAAUGCCUUGUUUUCUAGGACUACUAUCCUGAAAACCAUUUCUCCCCUUUGUUUGAAUACUCCUUCUUCUUGUUAUUAUAGGAACAUGCUUUAUUUGCUGCAUUUAUGCCUGUUGUCUUUUUUUUUUCUUGCUCUCACUGCCCUGUCAAGCUUAUUCUCAAAACAUAUUUUAAAAAAAUAAAGACAACUUAAAAGAGGUGAUGACUAUAAAAAGACAAUACUUGUGGAGCUCCUAACCUGUCAGUUUGCAGGCAGUAGCCAUCAAGUCACAAAAAUAUGGAAAUAUCUAUGGCUUGGAGCAUGAAAAUCAACAUAUGUAGUCAUCAUGCAUUUUUUGGAGGAUAGGCUAAACAAACUCUGUCACUUCUGCCUUGCACUGGAACCCGCUUUCUCUUUUAGGGAUCACUCUGCCGUUUCCUAUUAGCGUUAGCAGUGCUCCAAAUUGCAAAACCUUCAGAUUAACAUGCCGAAUCCUGUCAUUUUUCCCACAGGCUGUCUGGCAAUGAUAAUCCACUAAAGGAUUGUUUCAUCCGAGUGGCGGUGUCCAAGUCAAACGCUGGCAACAGGCAGGGGAACCCAAACCUGUUGAGGCAGACUUCUGCCGCCCUGUGAGGAAUACGGAGCGACAGGCUGCAGGGGCGGGAGGCAAGGGACACGCUAUGCCCAAGCAGGGCGAGUCCAUGGGCUGUGCCCAUGAUGGAAGACCACGACUGCCAUCAUGAUAGCUGGAAGUUUGUGGGCCACGACGCCGAUCCUGGUCAGAGCGGGCCUGGGGCUGCGCUUGUUGGAGCAGUGCCUUGUCAGAUUAGCCAUACGGUUGCUGUGUGCAAUUCUCAACCUGGACAGACAGGCCUGCCAGGCAGAAACUGCUCAGGCAGAUGAUGCUGGGGAGGACAAAAAUUAUCCACCGCAAGACUAAGAAGACAGAUGACACCCAGCAGGAAUGGCGAGCCAAAUCAUCAGAAUCCACAAUACAGCUGGCUAGCCCUAGGCUACCUGCCUCUUUGAAGUGGAAGAGACAUCACCGAUGAGCUGUCAAAUUAGAUCACCAGCCUGGAAACGCUGAAAGAGAUUUAGUUCUUCCAGCAGAGAAGGGGAAGUGUAAUAGAUGAAAAUCUUCCUAAAGGGGCCAAGGUAAUGUGGGAGGGGAAGGGGGAAUCCUGAACAUGCAACAAUGAAAAAUUACUAGCCUCUCUCCUGCCUGCACUGGAAAGAUGAAGUUGGCUGCGUUAUGUGGCAGCAGGAAUCACUGUAGUCACUACCAGCAUAGGAAAUAAGGGCGACGCCUGCAGGAAUGUGCACAUAGCAGCAACAAGUAAGCAUUCUAUAAAAUCAAAUUCCUUCCCAAAUCAGUGAUAUCUUUUUAUGUCACCCCAGAGCCGGGGUCUAGAGUAGUAUAAAUCUAAUAUUCAAAAUAUUCAAGACAUGCAACAGAGGGAUGCAGAGACUGCACUCUAACACUAAAAGCUCAGUGCAGCAGAGGCACAUGAUGGCAUGGCAACUCCCCCUGCAUUCUUCUGCAGUAGCAUUUGCUAGUAUUUGUGCACAGAAGAUGCAAGGAAUGCAAUUCAGUUUUGAUGGAUCAAAACCAAAAAUUAAGAUUGCCAAGCACAGAAGCAUACAUUGAGGUGCACGGUGAAUGUGAAACCUGACACUUCCAUUAGGGUAGGGAUGGCAGCAGCAUGAUCUAAUUAGAGAUUCAAAGAAGAAAUACUGCUCUUGGUGAGAGGGAAAUAUUAAACGUAGUAAUCCAUUAAACCACUCUAUCACUGCAAUUGUACUUUGAACUUUAAAGACCACGAAACACACUAAAGAUUAAAAGGAAUGAUAAGACUGAAAACCAAAAGGAAAAAAAAUUAAAUAGGCCUACAAAUCCCUUCUCCUAAUUUCAACUCCAGCAAAACAACAAAAUUCCUUAAUAGGUGUAAACGUACAAUUAUAAAAUCAAUCUACGGUCACACUAAGGCAAACUUACUUGGAGAAAAAUCAUGAUAACCUAUUCCCUGCUUGAGCAUUCAUGUAGCAGACAAACCAUAAACCAUAAUUCAACUGCAGAGAUACAAAAAGAUUAUAGCAGCAGAUCAGAAAAUAUCUGCUAGACCUCUGAAUACAAAAGCUUACAUAGGUUUUUUUUAAUAUAUAUAACAAUUUUUAUAGGUUUAUCUGUUGCUUCAUUUCAACUAAUCCCUUUCUAAGUACCUUGCCCUACUCUUCUACAAUGCCACAGCACCAAGGAACAGUUCUGGUUAUCUAUUGCAUUUUAACCAAGAGGAGAAUAAAGCUCUAGUUCUAGAGCAAUCUUUAUCUGUGGCGUUACUUGAGUGUAUUAUAUUUCAAGGAUAGAACCACAUUAACACUUCAAAGUUACAUUUUCAUAUAAAAUAGUUAAUAUACAUGAGCAUGUUUGAAUUUCAGAGUACUCAUAUCUGUUUUAAACCUGUCUCAACUCUGCUGACAACUUGGGAUCCACACCCAUGCUUACAAAUCUGUUACUCUUCCAUCAGCUGUAAAUAUAGUAAAUACAGUAAACUUUCUCAGAAUGUGCGUGAAGUAAGAAAGAGAAUAAUUAUUUUGUCAAGAUACUCCAAUAAGCUAUGACAUCUGUUGGGAAGGUUAGGAUGCAUCUUAAAAAAUAAGUCUUCCAUUUUUAGGGUUACAUUCUUCAAAGUAUCAGAAAUUAGUAAAUUACUGGGAGACGGGCUACUUCAAUUUCAAAAUACUUAGAGGGUAUUGUAAGCUGUGGAGGACUACAAGACAAAAAGGAUUAAAAGGAUGUGAAAAUAUCACCUCUUACAGGCUAACAGGUAGGAUAUGCCAGCAUCCAGGUUUUGUGCAUUUUACCCAAAGAAUCACUGGCAAGUCAGUUGUUUUCAAGAGAUUUUCACCUACUCAGAGUGGACAGUGAAGAAAAGUAACUAAACUUGUUUGACUCAACCACUACUGCUGUUAACUGGAAGCAAUACCUACGUUAUCUGCCUGCCUCAUAGCAGAACACUUGAAAGUCUGUUUGAACGUGGCUUGCUUGCAAGUGAUGGCCAACCUGGUAUUAAGGUGAAAAAGACAAGUCAAAGUGGGCAGCCAUCUACGCUUCUGUAUUAGAGAAAAUAAGAGGCUGGGGGAUACUGUAGCCAGAGCAUGCAGCAACCUGGAGAAAUCCUGACACUUCAAAACAGCAGCUGUUUGGGCAAACAAACAACACCCCAACACCAAAACAAAUACCUUACACCAACCACGUUCUACAGCAAAGCGACUUGACGACACGUUUCAGUUGACAACAGCCUCCAUGGUUUUAAAGCAAACUUUUAAAAACAAGAAGUGAGCGUGGAAGAGCAGCUCACUAUUAUCUCAAGUAUCUCCUUCCCCACCUUCUUUUUUAGGACCCUGAAAUAUGCAAUCUUUCUUACGUGGAAAUAACAUGAAAUGACAGCACAUGCAAAAUCUUGAUAAACGCUAAUACUGUUGACUAGUUUGAAAGAAAUUGCUUCUGGAGUCUACCUGAAAGUCCAUUAAAUGAAGUAGCAUGUGAACUAACCUGAUUUUUUUCUUAAUAAACUAAAGACUUUCACAGCCAAA